CUAGCAUUUGAGAGGCAGCAGCAGGAAGAUCACAAUGACACAGAGAAGAUCAGCAUGCAGGGAUGAUACACAUGUUUGUGAAUUGUUCCAUAUUUAA
rnacentral:snRNA from 1 species